rnacentral:rRNA from 1 species
UGACAGACGCCGGCGUAAAAUGUGGUUAUAUAAUAGUUUACUAAAGCCAAACACCCUCAAAGCUGUUAUACGCACUCGAGGGCAGGAAGAACCUCCACGAAAGGGGCUUUAAAAAUUUAAACCACUAAAGCUAGGGAA